AUUGAACGCUGGCGGCAGGCCUAACACAUGCAAGUCGAGCGGAUGAAGGGAGCUUGCUCCUGGAUUCAGCGGCGGACGGGUGAGUAAUGCCUAGGAAUCUGCCUGGUAGUGGGGGAUAACGUCCGGAAACGGGCGCUAAUACCGCAUACGUCCUGAGGGAGAAAGUGGGGGAUCUUCGGACCUCACGCUAUCAGAUGAGCCUAGGUCGGAUUAGCUAGUUGGUGGGGUAAGGCCUACCAAGGCGACGAUCCGUAACUGGUCUGAGAGGAUGAUCAGUCACACUGGAACUGAGACACGGUCCAGACUCCUACGGGAGGCAGCAGUGGGGAAUAUUGGACAAUGGGCGAAAGCCUGAUCCAGCCAUGCCGCGUGUGUGAAGAAGGUCUUCGGAUUGUAAAGCACUUUAAGUUGGGAGGAAGGGCAGUAAGUUAAUACCUUGCUGUUUUCACGUUACCAACAGAAUAAGCACCGGCUAACUUCGUG
rnacentral:rRNA from 1 species